CCAGUCAGUUAUCUUUCUCUCUGAGCGAGCGCGAGAGACGAUCGGACGAGAAGCUCCUCGACCUCGCUUCCCUUCGCAAUGGUGAAUCUCUUCUCUCUCCAUGACUACUCGAGUCGUCGAGCUUCUUCACUGAAUCUCUCGCAGUGCCCUAUGUUUCUCAUUGCAAGUGAUUAUUUGAAGACGGCGAUUCCUUCGCAGCUCAUCUCGGAGAGAGAGGCUCCAAUCUCGUCGUCAUCAACCUGGUUCUGCGAACAUCGGAGUGGGUCUCGCUCAGCAGGACGCGCCUUUCGUUGUCCCUCAUUGCAUCGCCUGCUACACCAGCCAGCUCCCCAAGCGAAACGUGCAAGACCAGAUGCUCAAUUCUCAAGUUACGACGGCGCAACACAUGGCGCGAGAGAAGGCUCAUGAUAUUAUAGCAUUGUUGUUGAAGAUUCCGUUCUUGGAUGAGGAGGUCACGAACAGCAGCUCUUUCCAGCGCAAGGUUUGCAAGCUUUUUUGAAAAAAAUUGUUGGACCUAGUUCUUCAUUGCCCGAGUUAAGCUGCUUUCUCGCUUCCACCUAAUCUUUAAAAUCACAUGGCAGACUUAGAGGAGGCCCUUUUUUGUUAACUUCACUGUUUUCAUCGUUCAAUUAUCUUAUUAUUCUGUCGUUUGAGUCGGCUACUUGAAGUUCCAGUAUUUUAAGGCAAUUCUCUUGACUGUUUUUUGUUCUUCAUACGGUAUUCAAGAUAAUGAAGUGUUUUCAUUUUUAUGGGCAUAGUGUCCUCUGAGGAAUUUUUGUUUCUUUGACGGUUAGUAA